UUAUGAUGAUGACAAAAAUUCCUGAGCAUAACCUUGAAUCUUUCCCAAACUUGGUAAUGAUUCUCUCCAUCUUUCUACCUGAAACUCAAAAUCUCAGUUCUCAAACA